rnacentral:lncRNA from 1 species
ACGCGCCCCGUCCGCUGCAGUCCGCCGGCGAGGGAGUUACGCACGUCCUGAUUCUCCUGGAGUCUCCAGCCCGCCCAGUGGCCGCAGUCACCCAGGUCCAGAGGCGGCGGUAUCACAGGCUCUCCGACAUGUCUAUGCUGGCUGAACGUCGGCGGAAGCAGAAGUGGGCUGUGGAUCCUCAGAACACUGCCUGGAGUAAUGACGAUUCCAAGUUUGGCCAGCGGAUGCUAGAGAAGAUGGGGUGGUCUAAAGGAAAGGUAUUUUGGAGAAAAGCGGAAAAAAAUCUGAGCUAUGAAAAGAGAUUAGAAAUUAGGGGAAAACUUCCUUCUUAGGAGACUGGAAGAAACUUAUGCUUUGGAUCAGUAAGUGAUUUUGAUCCCAAAUCAAAAAUUGUUGUGACCUUAUGAUGAUAAAUUAGGAUUGGACAUAAGUGUCAACUUUCUAUCAUUUAAGCUGCCAUGCUUAGCAUCUUUCAUAGACAUUGCAACUAGGCUACACGCUUUUUCCCUUUCCAUUUAUUCUUGACUCCAGUAGAGCCUCUGCUGAUACCUCUACACUUAAAUGGUUCUUG